CUUUAACGGAGAGUUUGAUCCUGGCUCAGGAUGAACGCUGGCGGCAUGCCUAAUACAUGCAAGUCGUGCGGGGGUCUCCGGACCCUAGCGGCGAACGGGUGAGUAACACGUGGGCAACCUGCCCGUAAGACUGGGAUAACUCCGGGAAACCGGUGCUAAUACCAGAUAAUCUC
rnacentral:rRNA from 1 species